GUUCAAACAACCGUCGUCCGUCUCUCCGCUCGUCACUCACGUCUUCGGCCGCCAGCUUCUCCUUCACCUCGCGGAUGAGGAACCGCUCCAUGCCGGUACCGGCGGUGCAGUAGUAGCGGACUAAGCUCCCCCCGGUGUCCGGGUCACUCAUCGUGUUCUCCUCGGAGGAAGAGCAUCAUGGGCCAGCUGUUCUCCUCAGAAGAAGAGGUCUCUCAGGCGAAGGAUGCGAUUGGUUCCCUCCUCUACGAGGCCAUGUUGGGAGGCGGAGCCGUGCCCGACCUGGGCGUCGUCCACCCUCUCCUCCUGACCAAUCGCGACCAGAGCCUCGACUCCCGGGCCCGCCUCCAGGAACAACUGCGACAGCUGCAGGCCGACGUGGGGAACAAGGCGCCGGCGUACCUGAAGGACCUGAUUGGCCGGCUGUCGUCCUUCUCGGAGGAGCCCCGCCUGGCCGGCCUGCUGGGGCUGGCGCUCACCGUGGUGAUGGACAUGGCCUUCAGGUCGGCCAACCGGCCCUCCGGGAGAGGGGGGGCGGGGUCACCGACCGGCCAGCAGAGAGUCUGGGAGCUCCAGGAGGUGAUGGAGGAGUACCUGAAGCGCUGCAGGAUCCACCUGAGUGACCGAAGCAGGCUGGUCCAAGACUCCGUCAGACUCGAGGCCCAGCUGAGCCUCACGCUCACCCGGCUGAAGACCAGUCUGCUGGGGGGGGGCUGCGACUCCAGGUCUCUGAGGCACUGGGCCAGCGGAGCGGCCUUCCACACCCAGGUGCUGGUCCACCUGGCCGGCCUGGAGGGUCGGACCGGCCAGGUGGCUGCGGCGGCCGCGCUGCAGCAAUACAGGGAGGACCUCACCCAGAUCAUACCUGCUUACAGGCGCUACAAGUCGAGCACGGUGUGCGUGGGGAAAUGUCGGGGGGGUCUUCUGGCGUCAUGUGACCCGUCCAGCGAGCCGCCGGAGGACGGAUCCAUGACGGGCCUCUCUGUGACGGACAGCGAGACGGGGAGGACUGUGAGCGUCCCUCUGGCCGCCAUGAGGGCGGAGACAGGCAGAAGAAGGAGAACCUCUGGACCCGAUGGCACCUCCUCCUCCGUCAACCUGGACCUCAUCACCUCAGAUCAGUACGCCGAGGCCUACCUGCACCACCUGUUCUCUGCUAAGGGACCCGUGGCGGAGCUGGAGAACUACUUCAUCACGGCCGCUGAGCAUCUGAGGAGGAACGAGGCGGGGCGACCUGACGGAGGGCGAUUAAAAGGCUUUGAGGGAGAACGAGGAGCAGACAGAGGAGAAGGAGAAGGAGAUGGAGGAGGAGGAGGAGGAGGAGGAGAUGGAGGAGAUGGAGGAGGCGGAGGAGGAGAUGGAGGAGGAGGAGGAGGAGGAGGAGAAGGAGAUGGAGAUGGAGGAGAAGGAGAUGGAGAAGGAGAAGGAGGAGGAGCAGGAGCAGGAGCAGGAGCAGGACGAGACGAGACGCACCUGAGUGUGGUGGAGACCCAGCCGGACGAGAGCCUCGAGCUCAGAGCAUCACGUCGCUGAGAGAGAAACAUCAAGCUCAGGGUCCACAGUCAUUUACUGUAUUCAUGUUCCCGACGCACAAAUACGGUUAUUUAAAUGGACCGUGAAUCAAAACCAAUACAAAUAUUUGUUUUAAAUACUUUAUUAUGCUUUUUUGUCAAUUCC
rnacentral:lncRNA from 1 species